GUUGGGUAAGAACAUGACAUUUUAUUACCCAAUUCACAUUUCAUUUUCUGCUUUCAGUUCCCCUUACAACUACAACCAAACAACUAAAUUCAACAUGUUUGGGAGCUGUGGAUAUACCAGAUUCUGGUAUUUCUGCGAAAACAACUUUUGAACCUCUUCCUUCUACUUCCAAUGCACCAGAACAUAUGACCUAUAAACCAAUUACUCAUGAUGAUAAAAACAUUUGCCAUCAAGAUGCACAGGCAGAAAUAUUAGUCCACAGUUAUAAAAGACCUAAGAAAAACAUUGAAAUGAAAGACACUUCAUCAACAUUUACAAUUAAAGAGAAGAGGCUUUGGCGACAGUUACAAAAUGCAAAAAAAACAAUAAGGAAUAUAGCGAAGUCAAGAGUGAAUUUAGACAAGUUAGAUUCGGAAGUGCUGACAUCGUUAGUAAAGGAUGUAGUGCAGAAUAACAAAAAAAAGUCACAAGGAAAAAGGUGGACUUUAGCCAACAAAAUAUAUGCUUUGGCUAUAUUUAAACGGUCCCCUAAAGCAUACCGCUAUAUGCAAAAGCUGUUUACGCUACCAAGCACUAAAACGCUCCAAAGGAUUUUAAAAAAUAUACCAAUGGAGCCUGGUAUAAAUAAAAAUAUAAUUGAUAUGUUAGAGGCAAAAGCAUCAAGUAUGCCAAAGGAAAAUAAAUAUUGCUCGUUAAUAUUUGACGAGAUGGCGUUAAAGAAACGGAUAAUUUAUAACGAAAUUGCUGAUAAAGUGGAUGGCUACGUGGAUUAUGGAGAGGGCGAGAACAUGGGACGAGAAAAUAAAAUUGCAGACCAUGCGUUAGUGUUUAUGAUACAGGGUGCUAAACAUAAAUACAAACAAUAUAUUGCGCACUAUUUUGUGGAAGGCACAAUAUCAACAGUAAAACUGGCAAAAAUUAUAUCGGACAUCAUCAAAAAAUUAAAAGAAAUCGGAUUUGUGGUUCUAACAACAGUUUGUGAUCAGGGAUCUACAAAUAUAGGAGCUCUUAACAUGUUAAAAAGAAACUGUGGACAAGGCAUAGAUAGCAACUUUUUCUCUGUAAAUAAUGACAAAAUUUUUAUAAUCUAUGACAUCCCUCACUUGUUCAAAUCAUUACGAAACAAUUUCUUUAAAAGUGGAAAUAUGUCUUUCGAUGGAAAAAUUGCACAAUGGAGGCAUUUGGUAGUUGCAGAAGAACACAACAGAAAUUUUUUAAAUUUUAAAAAACUGAAUAGUACCAUUGUAAAUCCAACAUUCAAAACUAAGAUGAGGGUGAAGUAUGCUGCGCAUGCUCUGAGUAAUACCGUGGCAGCUAUUUUAAAAAUGAUGGCAUGGAAAGAAGUUUCUGAUUGCAAUGAUACAGCAUUUGUGAUUGAACAGUUAGAUAAACUAUUUGAUUGUACAAAUGGUCCAUCAUCUUUAAAUGACGUAAAGAAAGGGAUCCGGGAAAAUGUUUCCACAUCAAGUAAUCACAUUGAGUCUUGGACCUUUUAUACUGAUAAGUUAAAAACCAUAAAAUUUAUAACAGCAGAAAACACGAUACUAAAAAAUGUUAAAUGCGUAAAGGGAUAUCAAAUAUCUAUCAAAUCCUUAAACGAUAUUUGGGAAAAGUUAAAGAAUGAAGGGUUUAAAUAUAUGAACCUUAGACAGUUUAACCAAGACUCUCUGGAAAACUUAUUUGGAAUCAUUAGGCAACACAGUGUAACCAAUAGAAAUCCCACUAUCACGCACUUUACUGCAGCGCUUAAAACAAGCAUGGUUACUGGGCUGAAAGUGCCUCAUAGCAGAAGUGCUAAUUGUGAAGCAGACAACAAUAAACAUAUGCUGGAAUAUAAAGACAUUUUAAAAACUAAUUUAAAAGCAACAGAAAUAAAAAUUAAUGUUCAAGAUUCCACAGACACUGAAUUUUAUCCUGUGUUGUCUAUCCCGGACCCUGAAAACUUAGAACAGCCCAUUGAAAAUUUGUGUAGCCUUGAAAACCAACCAGUAGUAUAUGUAAGCGGGUAUUUAGCUGCCAAACUAUUACAGAACAGUUCUUGUUUAAUUUGUGAAGAGUGUUUGAGCGUGAAAACUCCUGUUGACAAUGAUUUGUAUGCAUAUAUC